AGGAAGUAAAAGCAAAGACCUAUUGAGAAAUGGCUGUUGUGUUGGCUGGAAAGUUCCCCUGUGUUGCUGUUGGGAAACCAUCCAGCAAGAUUCCCUGAUAUUUCAAAAGUAUUGACUUCUCAAUGGAGCGCAACCUAUAGUAUGAUGGAGACCGUAGGAGUGGACAAAGACAGCCUUUCUGGAUUCGUGUGUCUGUGACAGAAGAUACUCUUUACAAUGAAGGACUAGACCAAAAAAGCAAAAGAGUGCGUGUUCGUUGAAGAAAAUGUGAAACAUACAGGUAAGCCAGAAAAAAAGAUGGUAUAAAUCAUCUGAAAUCCCAGCAUCCAGGAAAAAGGCAUUGUUAACAUCUUGCAUUGGUCACACUCUGAAGUAUAUCAGGUGGCUCUCCCUGUGGCAGAUGCUACCGGCUAUCUACCCACCUACGGGCCAUCCUCUUUGAUCGCUAAGAAUCUGACUAUGUCUAGUGGGCCACAUAUCCAGCUCAGGACAUGGGUCAUCAUGAAGCCAAGCCAGCCAUUGCAACAGUGCUUCCUUUGACAGAGACUACGGAUGCGAUUUCUGGAGUCCCACCGGCUAUCUUGGGUUCAUGAAAUAACUUGCCGGGGAACUGAAGCCAAGAAUGAUGAGCACAAUAGAAGUGGAAGGAGCUUGAGUUUUCUGAUGACACCAGAUCACAAUCUCACGGUGGAUUCUGUUUCUAACUGGCUGGUCCUAGCUAGAGUUUUGCUGACAGCAAAAGAAAAAGGCUUCUUCUGAAAAAGCUCCUAAGCAGCAUUAUCCAGCUAGCAAGCUCUUAGCGCCCACACAUAAUGACCUUUGCCACUUUUGUAGAAAACUAGCUGUUUCGCUGGUGAGUUAGCCUUACCUAAUAAUUUCACCCUUGUAUUUUCCAAGGAGUUAGGACUGCACUUUCUCAUUGUUUCAAAAUCAUAUGGAGAGUUACCUGUUAGUUUCACCCUCCUAUAUUCCAAGGAGCCAAGGACUGCACUUUCUCAUUGUUUCAAAACCAUAUGGAGAGUUUUAUUCUAAAUGAUGCAGAUGAAGGCACUUAUUAAAGUGCCCUUGUGGAUUUCAUCGUGUGCACGCUGCUAAAAAUCAUGUAAUGGAUGAACAACUCAGAAAAGAGCUCUCACAACCCACACACAUCGUGAUGAAACAGGGCAGCAUUUUGCACUUGCUUCCACGGCAUCGCCUGAGAAGUAGUUCUGAUUCCCGUCCUCCUCCUCCUCCCUUACUUAGAAUUUCAACUUCAUCUCAGGCAGCUGCUGAAUCGUUAAACAGAAUGCCACCAACCCUGUAUUUCCAAAACUACGGCUCUUCCCUGCGGACUGCCCAUCUCCAGGGCACGCUUGCCAA